rnacentral:rRNA from 1 species
AUUGAACGCUGGCGGCAUGCCUUACACAUGCAAGUCGAUCGGCGGCGGGGGAGAAGCUUGCUUUUCCUGCCGGCGAGUGGCGAACGGGUGAGUAAUACAUCAGAACGUGCCCUGUAGUGGGGGAUAACUAGUCGAAAGAUUAGCUAAUACCGCAUACGACCUGAGGGUGAAAGUGGGGGACCGCAAGGCCUCAUGCUAUAGGAGCGGCCGAUGUCUGAUUAGCUAGUUGGUGGGGUAAAGGCCUACCAAGGCGACGAUCAGUAGCUGGUCUGAGAGGACGAUCAGCCACACUGGGACUGAGACACGGCCCAGACUCCUACGGGAGGCAGCAGUGGGGAAUUUUGGACAAUGGGCGAAAGCCUGAUCCAGCAAUGCCGCGUGUGUGAAGAAGGCCUUCGGGUUGUAAAGCACUUUUGUCCGGAAAGAAAUGGCUCUGGUUAAUACCUGGGGUCGAUGACGGUACCGGAAGAAUAAGGACCGGCUAACUACGUGCCAGCCGCCGCAGUAA